GAAACUUGCCCCGAGAUGAGUUCUCCCUGACUCCUUGAGAGUCCUGAAGGAACGUUGAAGACGACGACGUUGAUAGGCCGGGUGUGUAAGCGCAGCGAUGCGUUGAGCUAACCGGUACUAAUGAACCGUGAGGCUUAACCUUACAACGCCGAAGGUGUUU
rnacentral:rRNA from 1 species